CCCCUUUUUCUUCUCUAAAUUAUUUUUGAAUUACGCCCUACAUUUCUCCUUUUAGUAUCAUCCGGUUAUGCUUUUACUAUUUUUUUUUUUCGAGUUGUCCAUAUCAAGUGUGGGUGUGUGUGUGUAAAGUUGAGUAUUACUAAGGCAUUUUAAGUUAAGUUAGGGUGCAUUUACUUUGAUAAAGAAAAAAUGAGAGAAAAAGUAAAUUUUCAUAUAUUUUUUUUAUGAUAGAAUUUUUUUUUCUGGCAUGAUGGAACAUUUUAUCGGACAGCUCAUUUUCACUUAUUUUCUCUUUAAUAUUAGGGGUGUGAAAUAUUCCAAUACUUUCUCAUCUUUUUAUCUUUAAUAAAUAUAUAAUAAAAAAUAAAAAAUAAUACUCCCU
rnacentral:lncRNA from 1 species